CUUUUCUUGAAGAACAGUUUACUACACUAGAGCGACAACUAUGAUUUCUAAAGCCUGUCAGGCUGAAAUAGAGAAUGACAUCAGGAUUCCGUUCCAGCUUUUCCAACCGACAAUUGCUACCGAGAAAUUCAAUUAAGGACUCCUCUUCCCACUUCGAGCCGGUCUCCAGGGCAGAUCUUCCGGGCAACUCGCCCCAUGUAAGAAAUUGGAAAAUGCAACAAUAAAACAAGAAAAACUGAAAAAAGGUGCCAACUUUGAUCAGGCAUGCUCUCUCACAGUCCACCCUAAACACACAUACCCCUUUAGUUGGAAUUGGAAAGUCACCGAAAGACAGCGAAGUAGCCUACAGGAUCCAGCUGCCAAAUGAUUGCCCAUCAAGCAGCCAUGAGCAGAGUCCAGACUGUAGCUCAACGGUAGGCUGGAGUUCAGACAGAGGUGCUGCCCAACUGACAUAUGAAGUAAGUCUAUAUGGAGUGACUUGGUCCCAUGCUGGAAGAGAAAACGAGGUAGGACAAAUAUACCGCAUGACUGAUUACUGCCACCACAUUCUCCCCUGUUCAUAUCUACAACAAUAUCAAGCAUCUUCAUUAAUCACCAUGGAUCAAUGUGUCUGGGGUUGUAAAAAUUGACAAAUUACUUAUUAGAAUCCCACCGUUUUAUUUUCCAGCUGAUUAACUCACAGUGAUGUCGUACACUGUACAUAUGCCCUGAUGUAUCGGUUUUUCGAGGAGGCAUUCACAGCAUGAAAUGGCUGGGGCUAUGAUCAUAUAUGCAGUCAGUGUUCUUCUGCUCUUGGUACCAUGUAAUAUGGUGCAGACAGAGCUAUUACCUGUGAGUGUACCCUUAUAUGACCCUUUCCAGGUAGUGCUAGAGCUGGAAACAUAGUGGUAUAAGGACACUCCACCCAUAAAUGUUUGACUUAAAAAAAAUACAUAAGGCUACAUACAGUAAAAGAUACAUUAGUGAUCAUCUCUUAGUGAUAGUGCUUUAUCAAGUCAAGAGAACGAGACAUACUUGAAGCCCUGUCAUAAGAGGAUACAUAACAUCUGCAUAGUAAUGACAUAACAGAUGCCAUACGCGGUUGUGUCCUCUUAUGAAAACAGACUUAUGUUAUGACACAUGUUAUGUUAUGGCAUUGCUCUGACACAAACCAUUGUUUAGGUUCAUUAAUUGUCAUUGCUAUAAGUUGACAUAAGAUGCAAAGACUCUUUAGGAUAGAAGGUCAUUAAUAAGAGAUUGUUAUGUGAGCUACAUUAUGAAUGUUCAUAAAACGACAUUUACAUAACAAACAUUCAAAGUAUGCAGUAUGUCACUUGUCACUUGCAAGGUUGGUUGUCAUAAUGACAAUAGUUUUCUUUUGCCUGGUUUUGGGCAUUUUAGGGGUAAAUUGUAACUAAGCAUGCUAAAAUAUUACAUGCAGGUUACCUACUUAAGGACUUCAUAAGACAUUCAUAUCCCAUACCUACAGCAUUCAUAGCAGUACAUAAGCAUUUCGUACAACUUAUCACAGCAACUGCAAGUUGAUGUUGUUAUUAGUUUUUGCAGUUGUUGAAUAUACUGCUUAUGAAUGUGAUAUGUGCAGGUUAUGAAUGUUUUAUGUAGCCCUUAUGUCAAGUGUUACCCCAUAAUCUCCCAGACAUAAUUUUC
ensembl:lncRNA